ensembl:lncRNA
CAGGCAGAGUAAAUCAGGAUGCUUCCAGAUGGCAAAGGGGGAAGGUUCUCAUGGGAAGACAGCCAUCCAGCCACACGCUCCAGAAAGCCGCCUGCUGUUGCGCAGUACAGGAAGCCACCGCACCGUGUGCGCUCCAGGCACGUCUCACCAACAACCCGUGCUUCUCCUGAGCUCCCAUCCUGCCCGAAGGAGCUUUAACCAACAGCAUCUCCCAGCCCAAGCAGGACUGGAAGAAGAAGUGGAAAAAUGUAGGGUCACUGCUUCAGAGGGUUUGCAGGUGGGAUACAGCAGAAGCAGGGGGGGCUGCUUGAGUGCAUCCCAUUUAGAAACAGCACAGCAGAGAAGAGGAAACCACAGCAGCAUUUGCAGAAACGUUUCAUCCCUGUAAUCAGCAUGGGCAGAGAACAAGAAAAUCAACUCGGAAGUGUCCUCCAGGAAACCAACGUUGGCAAAAUGCAGCAGAGCAACACUUAAUCUCAGCUGUACCGCUUCAUUCUUAUCUUGCAUCACGCACUCCUGCAGGCUGCAGUGAUGUCUGGCGAUGUGAUGGGGAGUUACUGAGCAUUAAGAGCAGAGAUUGUGCUCCGUGCUUUUGGGGGUUGGAACUUGAUGAUCCUUGGGGUCCCUUCCAACCCAAGCCAUUCUAUGAUUCACGUCCAUUCAAGCCUUUGCCUUUCACUGGCACUGCACAAAAGCACAGCAGGGCUCCCCCUGAUGUAAAUCUCUCUGUGCCAAAUUGCAGCUUUCAGCCCCGUGCAUCAGAGCUUUCUCAAACCUCCCAACAUGAAACACCGGAACAAGACCACGUGAUGUUAUCUCCUUUCUAUCUCACACCGUGAUCUUGCACUUUCUUCCGCAGCAGCCCAGGCCAUGGGUUUGCAGUGCUGUGAGAUGCAGUACCCGCUUCCCAUUAUCCCCAAGGCAAGGUCAUGGACAUAGGAGUCCAGUUCAUUGAGGAGCAAUCGGAGAUAGGAAGCACAUUGCUCUGGCCAAAGGAAACAGGGUUCACAAUCCAGUUGGCUUUUAGGUCUGCUCAGCCCUGCGGCUGAUGCUCUCUGAGCUUCCAGCUCCCCAUGCUUCGAACACAUCACAGAGCCAUAUUCCAUCCCCACAGGAGGAGGAGGAG